GCAGUCGAGCGGACAGAAGGGAGCUUGCUCCCGGAUGUUAGCGGCGGACGGGUGAGUAACACGUGGGUAACCUGCCUGUAAGACUGGGAUAACUCCGGGAAACCGGAGCUAAUACCGGAUAGUUCCUUGAACCGCAUGGUUCAAGGAUGAAAGACGGUUUCGGCUGUCACUUACAGAUGGACCCGCGGCGCAUUAGCUAGUUGGUGGGGUAAUGGCUCACCAAGGCGACGAUGCGUAGCCGACCUGAGAGGGUGAUCGGCCACACUGGGACUGAGACACGGCCCAGACUCCUACGGGAGGCAGCAGUAGGGAAUCUUCCGCAAUGGACGAAAGUCUGACGGAGCAACGCCGCGUGAGUGAUGAAGGUUUUCGGAUCGUAAAGCUCUGUUGUUAGGGAAGAACAAGUGCGAGAGUAACUGCUCGCACCUUGACGGUACCUAACCAGAAAGCCACGGCUAACUACGUGCCAGCAGCCGCGGUAAUACGUAGGUGGCAAGCGUUGUCCGGAAUUAUUGGGCGUAAAGGGCUCGCAGGCGGUUUCUUAAGUCUGAUGUGAAAGCCCCCGGCUCAACCGGGGAGGGUCAUUGGAAACUGGGAAACUUGAGUGCAGAAGAGGAGAGUGGAAUUCCACGUGUAGCGGUGAAAUGCGUAGAGAUGUGGAGGAACACCAGUGGCGAAGGCGACUCUCUGGUCUGUAACUGACGCUGAGGAGCGAAAGCGUGGGGAGCGAACAGGAUUAGAUACCCUGGUAGUCCACGCCGUAAACGAUGAGUGCUAAGUGUUAGGGGGUUUCCGCCCCUUAGUGCUGCAGCUAACGCAUUAAGCACUCCGCCUGGGGAGUACGGUCGCAAGACUGAAACUCAAAGGAAUUGACGGGGGCCCGCACAAGCGGUGGAGCAUGUGGUUUAAUUCGAAGCAACGCGAAGAACCUUACCAGGUCUUGACAUCCUCUGACAACCCUAGAGAUAGGGCUUUCCCUUCGGGGACAAAUUGACAUGGUGGUG
rnacentral:rRNA from 1 species